ensembl:lncRNA
AUGGUUAUAUUUAGUCCUCUUGUGACCAGGAGUCAGGCAUUCCUGAUAUGGGACGGCAGAAUUCCUAUCACACAACACAUACAGACACACAACACACACACAUUCUGUCUGAGAGGGUUCUCUGAGCUGUUGGGCCUGGUAAGGGGGCAGGUGAUUCAGGAUUAUCGUCCCAGGAUUCUUGGAAGCAGAAGGGGCAUGGGCUAUUGGGGGUCUUUUAGACAAGACUAGACUUACAGUUAAAUAUUAGACAUUCAAUUCAAUGUAUGGAAACAAACCGAUGGCAGUAACAUUGUAAUGUGUGUGUGUGUGUGUGUGUGCGUGCGUGUGCGUGCGUGUGCGUGUGUGUGUGUGUGUGUGUGUGUGCGUGCCUCCUCCCAGGGUUCAACUCCAACAUCAACCUACCAGGUAGAGAGGAGCACCCAGGCUCCACCCCCACCUCCUCGUCUCCGCAGCUACAGGACAAGAACGCCAACAACCACACACCCCCCUCCCCAAGCCCCACUCCCAUUGAGAACGGCAACCGGCUGUCCAACGGGUCAAUGGAAGAUGAGGGUCACACAAAGUCAAACUCUUCCAGCUCAUCAUCUCUGCACAGGCAUAUGGACAGCCAUCACACUCAGAGGGGUCAUCUCAACUUCUCGCCCUUCGGUGCGGGGGCUGCACUCUAAGGCAGAGUGGGCGCGGGAGCACCCCUCAUAUUAGGGACGGGGCGAUCCAGCGUCUACGUGGAUGUGGGGGGGACGAGGCCGCCACCCUGGGGGAGUUGCUCCGCUGGCGCAGGGCGCUGUGUGAGGGGCGGGCCGACUGGAGGCACCAACGGGACGUCAACGGAACACCACAAACCCCACCCACCACACUGGUCAGGGCUAAUAGGAAGUCUUCUCCAUAGUGGGAGGAUGUCCAACCUGGGAUAUGCCCACUUUCCAUGUCUCACACUGCCUUUCUUGUCUGCCUCCUGCCACGCCCUCCUGCCCAUGUCUGCCACCCCAUUCGGCAAAGGACAGGUCUGAGAGAGAGGCAUUUCAUUGGCUAGGACUGCCCAACCCACAAGAGCAUUAACAGAUAAAGGAGGGAGAAAGAAAAUAGAGCAGCAAUCAGGAUCCAUUUUAUCUUAUCUCUCUCUCUCUCUCUCUCUCUCUCUCUCUCUCUCUCUCUCUCUCUCUCUCUCUAACAAGCUGGAUGUAGGCUAACAGAGGAGAGGACUGUACAUACAAUAGUUGCUAUGUGGAAUGAGGUUUGCCUAUGUGUUUUCUGUCUGUAGUAAAUAUGGUGCACGUUCUCUCUCUAUCAAAGCCUACCAUGCAGUUACUGCUUACGCAACAUCUCCCAGCCCAAACACCAAACCCCAAAACAUGGUGCUGAUGUCACUCUGUGUGAUGUUAUAUGUGUCAGGUGUGUGAUGCGCACUAGGAUGAAGCUGCCCCGGCCUAGACGCUGAUCUAGGGUCUGUUUUUGUCUUUACCCUCUGAUGCUGAUGGGGAAGGUAAGUUGAUCCUAGAUCUGUGCCUAUGGGCACAACAGAACAUGUGUGUACCCUUCCCUCCAGACAUGUCUGAAGUUUACAAGCGAGCCAAGGCCUUUAAACAUCUCCUGUGUUAAACCUCACUGCUCUGGCUUACAGACCAGUUAUCAUCUCUAGGACCAGGAGGUUUUCCUGACCAUGUGAUCUGACCAGGGAAAACUCCUGUCUCUAGUCUUCUGGACUCCUUCAGGUAUCAGCUACCGCUUUAGCCUCACGCUACAAGGUGCUUUAGGUGCUUCUGUAACCCUGGCAACAAUAGCUCAGAGUUCAGGGGUCAGGGAAACCUCAGCGAUAUCCCAUGGUGCACUUGUUUCAUCCCCAGCUAGCCAACAGCCUUUCGCUUUAGCGUAAAAAAAAAACACGGGCAGAUAUUACUGACUAGGCAAGACAAUAGCAGAGCUGUAUUUUACAACGAUGGCCAUAGUAGCUAGUUCAUGUAGCUAGAUCACCUGUGAUCAGAUUGUAUCAAUGUCCUGUAAGGUUUUUACUGGGCUUAGUGCCAUACAAAAGGGACUCUAGGCCAGUCAACCUCAGCUAUGGCUGAUGUAUUUUACUGAUGUGUUUGUGUAGAGCACACAAACAGACUGAAUAAAGAACAGUGUAGAUGACCAACGCACAACUAUCUGUCGCAGUCUCUCAAUUAACUACUUAUCUAGACUUAUUCUACAAACAUCUCAGAAAAAUAAGCUCUAAACCACAAUGGUACUUUCUUCAUAUUAGCGUCCCAUUUGAUAUGUUCUAUCUUGUGUAAAUCAAUGUUAGGAGCCUGUACACUUUUCUGUACAUUUCAAGGAUGCAACUGGAGCACAACAGAGUUCUCAUGUAAAGCUACCCCAUCCUCCUCAAUCACCUUCUUUAUUUCCCUCCCAAACCCUGCAACAUCCCAACACCCCCUCCAAGAUACUGUAGGGGUCAGAGGGCAUUGCCAGGGUAACCUCCCUGUAAAUAAUGGCCUAUGUUUAAUUGUCAAAUGUUUUAAUUUACUAUAUCAGAAUAGCACAGAAAUGGGAAGAUGGAAAGGGAUUUGGAGAAUUGUCUAUAUGGCAGAUGGAGAAUUAUAUGAUUGUCUUGGGUUUAAUGCAAUGACUGAGGCAAAGAGAAGAGGUUUAUUUUAUAAUGUGAACACCUUUUUUGCGGAAUGAUUGUCUACUACUAUGAAACUUCUUUAUACUGUAUUUAUUUAGUUUGUUUGUUUGUUUCCCUGCGACACCAUUGUAAGACAAUAUUACAGUGGCGAAAGACUGAGGUUUCCAUCAUUUGUCUGAUGGUUGUUUGGAUGAUAAAUUGCACAAUAUUGAUGUUUGGUGGGGUUUCCACAUCGUAAAGGAGUAGCUAGAAGUUGCCCCUAACCACUGAUAUAGGAUCAGAUAUUUUAACAUCCCCCUAAUGGUUACGGUUAUGAUUGGGGAGGGUAAUCUGACCAUGGUAAAUUGGAUGGGUGUGCCUCUGCAAGCCGUUGGUUCUUAGAAGAUUGGUUUGACUGUAAAAGCCAGGAAGUACCAAUAGUUCUGAUUGAUUUCUCAUUUACACUGAUCACCCUUCAACAGUCUGAUUGAUCUUGUAUUAGGAAUUAGCAGCGCCAUCACUAGCGCGUCCUUGGUUGUUGAUUGAGCCGUGUGUGCGUGUGAGUGUGUAUGUGAUAAGAAACACUACAUUUUCUAUAGAAAUUGGGCGAAGAUCACAUCAAACAUUGACUAGGAGUGAGCCACAUAACCAGACCUUCUGAACACCAAAGCUCUGCUAACGACAAUGGAAUACAGUAUUUCAAAGUGAUAGUGUUAAGAUACCAUGUCUAUAUGUGAUUGGACGAUGCUUUAGGAUUGGAACGGAGGUGAAACAACACGUCUGGAUAGAACAAUACAGUUGGUCAUAUUGUAGUUCUACAUCAUGUACAUAUGACUAUUGGACAGAGCUGCCACAGUGCACACAGUAUACACUACUUACAUUGAGACAGUACCAGUCAAUACCAGUAUCCUACACACAAAAUAAAUCACUUCAUAUAGGUAGGUGUACCACUCCUACUCCGAUGUGCUGAGGUCCACCACUAAAGAGGGUUAAGGUUCGUCCUGUUUUGUAUUGUGUCUAUUUAUCCCAUACUACUAUGAAUGAUUUAGUGAAGCAGUGAAAACAUGGAUGAAGAGGUAUGCAUACUUUUUUAAGGCAUUUCAGACAGGAUGUUAGUUCUUUGUCUCUCUGCAUGAUCUGACCACUCAUCAUUUCCUCUUACCCACCGAUGCACGGCAGUUAACGCUUGAUAUUUGAAUAUCAUUUUACCCUUUACACUGUGAAUCACUGCACUGUCUCACACUGCCAUGUCACACUGCCAUUUCACACUGCCAUUUCACACUGCCAUUUCACACUGCCAUGUCACACUGCCAUGUCACACUGCCAUGUCACACUGCCAUUUCACACUGCCAUUUCACACUGCCACUGCCAUGUCACACUGCCAUUUCACACUGCCAUUUCACACUGCCAUCACACUGCCAUUUCACACUGCCAUUUCACACUGCCAUUUCACACUGCCAUUUCACACUGUCAUGUCUCCUAUGCGCUUGUCACCCUACCAUGUUUCCCCUUCCAAAGGAAACCUUAAAAUACAGUAAAAGCUACACACAUAUGUCCCCCAACCCCGAUCCCCAAUGUGUUUUCUGACUUCACAACAGAUCUAAAGAACUAGGUACUGUCAUUUUUCAUUCAUAGUCAGGUCUCCCUCUCUUUGUCAUAAGGUUCCUAGACCAGAUGUCUGGUGCUAAAGCCAGUGCAGAAGGGCAUUUUACUGUUCUCAGUCCAUGUACAGUAUUCCAAUGAUACAUAUUUUAGCACAUAGGUAUAUAUCACAGCCUUGUUUUCAUAGUUGUUGUUUUCUUCCCCUUCUUUUUGACAGACAUACAGUAUAUUUUACCUGCAUACAUUGUGUUUGUGGAAAAUCAGAAUUAUAUAUGUGUUGUUUCAUGUUUUGUUUCCAAUGUUUUAUAAAUACCUGUACAGCAAUAAAGCACAAUUGUGCCCAUUCCCUUGUCCUCUA